GACGAACCGUGCGAACGUUGUUCGGAAUCACUGGGCUUAAAGGGCGCGUAGGCGGUUGAUCAAGUCUGGGGUGAAAUCUUUCGGCUUAACCGGAAAAGUGCCUUGGAUACUGGUCAGCUGGAGGGAGGUAGGGGCAGUUGGAACUUCCAGUGGAGCGGUGAAAUGCGUAGAUAUCCGGAGGAACACCAGUGGCGAAAGCGGCCUCCUGGACCAUCCCUGACGCUCAGACGCGAAAGCUAGGGGAGCAAACGGG
rnacentral:rRNA from 1 species